AACGAACGCUGGCGGCGUGCCUAACACAUGCAAGUCGAACGAGAAAGGGGCUUCGGCCCUGAGUAAAGUGGCGCACGGGUGAGUAACACGUAGGUAACCUACCUCUAAGUUUAGGACAACCUGUCGAAAGAUGAGCUAAUACUGAAUGAGACCACAGUUUCUUCGGAAGCAGAGGUCAAAGGUAGCCUCUAUUUAUAAGCUAUCACUUAGAGAUGGGCCUGCGUACCAUUAGCAGUUGGUGAGGUAACGGCUCACCAAGGCAAAGAUGGUUAGCUGGUCUGAGAGGAUGAUCAGCCACACUGGAACUGAGACACGGUCCAGACUCCUACGGGAGGCAGCAGUGGGAAUAUUGCGCAAUGGGCGAAAGCCUGACGCAGCAACGCGCGU
rnacentral:rRNA from 1 species